rnacentral:rRNA from 1 species
UACGUAGGUGGCGAACGUUGUCCGGAUUUACUGGGCGUAAAGCGCGCGCAGGCGGACCGAUAAGUCAGAGGUGAAAUCUCCCGGCUCAACUGGGAGGGUGCGCCGAAGACUGGAAGGCUUGAGUAUGGGAGAGGUAAGCGGAAUUCCUGGUGUAGCGGUGAAAUGCGUAGAUAUCAGGAGGAACACCUGCGGUGUAGACGGCUUACUGGACCAUAACUGACGCUGAGGCACGAAAGCGUGGGUAGCAAACAGG